rnacentral:lncRNA from 1 species
UGAGAAAAGGUUUUCGGAAGCAGAGAAACAGGCAUCCCCUGAGCAGUCCAUAGCAUGAUGAGGGAUGGUCAGUGCUGGAUCUUACGAAAGAUGGGAAGAGCAGGACCUCUGAACAGUGUGGUGGCACCUACCCUGCUGCAUCGAGAAACUCAGUUUUAUCAUUGAAGUGUUUUACCACCACAGCAUUCUUAGACGCUGAGAAGAUCUUAUGAUGUCAAGCACUGAGGGCAAGACAGGAGGUUUCUCCAAGAAGAAUCAUCUCAGAUCUUCAUUUAAAUCUUGGACUGAAAAUUUUUGAGGUAAGAAAAAGUUAACAAUGUU